rnacentral:rRNA from 1 species
AGGGAAUCUUCCACAAUGGACGAAAGUCUGAUGGAGCAACGCCGCGUGAGUGAUGAAGGUUUUCGGAUCGUAAAACUCUGUUGUAAGGGAAGAACCAGUACGUCAGGCAAUGGACGUACCUUGACGGUACCUUAUUAGAAAGCCACGGCUAACUACGCGCCAGCAGCCGCGGUAAUACGUAGGUGGCAAGCGUUGUCCGGAAUUAUUGGGCGUAAAGGGUGCGUAGGUGGUUUCUUAAGUCAGGAGUGAAAGGCUACGGCUCAACCGUAGUAAGCUCUUGAAACUGGGAAACUUGAGUGCAGGAGAGGAAAGUGGAAUUCCUAGUGUAGCGGUGAAAUGCGUAGAUAUUAGGAGGAACACCAGUAGCGAAGGCGGCUUUCUGGACUGUAACUGACACUGAGGCACGAAAGCGUGGGGAGCAAACA